GACGAACGCUGGCGGCGUGCUUAACACAUGCAAGUCGAACGGAAAGGCCCUGCUUUUGUGGGGUGCUCGAGUGGCGAACGGGUGAGUAACACGUGAGUAACCUGCCCUUGACUUUGGGAUAACUUCAGGAAACUGGGGCUAAUACCGGAUAGGAGCUCCUGCUGCAUGGUGGGGGUUGGAAAGUUUCGGCGGUUGGGGAUGGACUCGCGGCUUAUCAGCUUGUUGGUGGGGUAGUGGCUUACCAAGGCUUUGACGGGUAGCCGGCCUGAGAGGGUGACCGGCCACAGUGGGACUGAGAUACGGCCCAGACUCCUACGGGAGGCAGCAGUGGGGAAUAUUGCACAAUGGGCGGAAGCCUGAGGCAGCAACGCCGCGUGCGGGAUGACGGCCUUCGGGUUGUAAACCGCUUUCGCCUGUGACGAAGCGUGAGUGACGGUAAUGGGUAAAGAAGCACCGGCUAACUACGU
rnacentral:rRNA from 1 species